CCGAAUAUCCGUCAUCCGCCUCGCUCCCUCUUAGCUUGCAGCCCUUUGGUUUUAUCGCUGUCGCCCUCGCUUCCCCAUCUUUGGUUUCUUCUCCCCCCAUUUAGAAAAUCUCUUCCACGCCUAUAAUAAAAUCAAACACGCGACGGAGGAGGGAAGGAAGGAACAGCGCGAGACUCGUCGAGGAGAAGCGAAGAAGGAGCGAAGGGUGGAGCGAUCGAGGCAGCGAGAGCGAGGGGAACCAUGGAGGUGGAGGAGCACGCGGCGGGGCAAGAAGGGCCGGUGACGUGCGCGGCGUGGAUCCGGCGGCCGGAGAACCGGCUUCUGGUGAUCAAGGGCCGGGCGGGGAGCGGCGCGGUCCCUCCGCUGCUCGAGAUUUUCUCCUUUGAUGCCAAGACUUCUUCCCUCUCCCCUGCUCCUUUGGCUAAGUUUGCGAUUAGGGAAGAGGGCGGGGAUCCCCUAGGCUUCGCGGUGCACCCCAGUGGAGAUGAAAUCGUCUGCUCCACAGCCAAAGGAUGCAAAUUGUUUGAGUUGAAUAGUCAAGAUAUAGACAUAAGGCUUCUGGCAAAAGAUCUUCCACCCCUUCAGUCUGUUGGUCCUCAGAAAUGUCUGGCUUUUAGCACAGAUGGUUCAAAAUUUGCUACUGGUGGGAUGGAUGGGCAUCUCAGGAUAUUACAAUGGCCAAGUCUGCAAGUUCUCUUGGAUGAACCAAGAGCUCAUAAAUCAUUCCGAGAUAUGGAUAUCAGCUUAGAUUCAGAGUUUUUAGUGUCAACAUCUAUUGAUGGUUCUGCAAGAGUGUGGAAGAUAAGUGAUGGUGUUCCAUUGGUCUCUUUGACUCGUACACCGGAUGAGAAGAUUGAAUGCUGUCGAUUUUCCAGGGAUGGGAUGAAGCCUUUCCUAUUUUGCACUGUUCAAAAAGGUGGUAAUGUGGUGACUGCUGUCUGGGAUAUCAGCACAUGGAAUAGAAUUGGAUACAAAAGAAUACUAAGAAAACCUAUCUCUGUACUUUCGGUUAGCUUGGAUGGAAAAUACCUUGCGCUAGGUAGCCAUGAUGGUGAUAUUUGCGUGGUUGAAGUAAAAAAGAUGGCAAUAUGUCACUGGAGCAAGAAGCUUCAUCUGGGUGCACGCAUCACCUCCAUUGAGUUUUGUCCUACGGAAAGUAUGACCAGGAACUCAGCAUUAGUGGAAAGUCCCCAAAAUAAAUACUACCUCAAAGCUUCUAUCAACUGAGUGAUAGUAGUGAUUUCGACUUCGAACCAAUGGGGAGCUGCAGUUACGAAACUCAAUGUACCUGCAGAUUGGAAAGAGUGGCAGAUCUACUUGCUACUCCUGGGUCUUUUCUUGGCCUCAGCAGUACUAUUUUAUAUAAUUCACGAAAACUCUGAUUCAUUCUGGAACUUCCCUCUUGGAAGAAAUCAACCUGCAAGGCCAUUGAUGCAAGCCUUUGUCAGGGAUCCUCAGUUUUCAGAUGAUCAAAGCCCAUGGUGAGGAGUUGUCUUGCAGUAUCAGCUCACAGUCGCCCUCGAGUUCCUCUAAAGUCCACAUCAUCAUCUUAAUGCACUGCACGGACAUCGCAACAUUGCUUGGUGUGCUACAGGAAUUCUGUUUGCUUUAGUUACUUAUUCAAAUUAUGCUCGCGUAUUUGAGCUCUAAAUCUUCUAGUCUGAUAUAUUUGAGGUGAAUUUAUAAUAUAUGGUUCCUCCAUUCUAAUUAAAGAGGAAUUAUUUCUAGUAGCCUGCAGCCUGGGCAAAAGAAUUUCCAAAUGCAUUAUUAAUUACAUUUUAGUCAAUUCACUUUGGCUAUGAAUCAAUGAGAAGCUUGUAAUUCUGAUUUAAUUGUUGAGAGAUGGUUUUCAAAUAA